rfam:Triticum aestivum genome assembly, contig: Triticum_aestivum_CS42_TGACv1_scaffold_001173_1AL
AAAGUACUCCCUCCGUCCAAAAAUACUUGUCAUUGAAAUGGAUGUAUCUAGAUGUAUUUUAGUUCUAGAUACAUUCAUUUUCAUCCGUUUCGAUGACAAGUAUUUUCGGACGGAGGGAGUAGUUU